rnacentral:pre_miRNA from 1 species
AUUCUACUCCCUCCGUCCGGAAAUACUUGUCGGAGGAAUGGAUGUAUCUAGAUAUAUUUUAGUUCUAGAUACAUCCAUUUUUAUUCAUUUCUUCGACAAGUAUUUCCGGACAGAGGGAGUAACAA